UUUCCGUAGGUGAACCUGCGGAAGGAUCAUUAUUAUUUGGACUGAGACUUAAUCGAAAAAUUAAGUCUCUCACCAAAUAUUAUUGAAUUUUAUCCUAUAUUUAAUAUAGGAGCAAGAUGAACUUUAUUUAAAACCCCACUCUUUAAAUAAUAUAUAAUUAUGAAUCAUAUAAAUAAAAAAGAUCACUUUCAACAACGGAUCUCUUGGCUCUC
rnacentral:misc_RNA from 1 species